CCAACGUUCACCUAAAACAGUGGACUUGUUCUCGAACAACAAUUCACUACAUUGUUCUUGUUACUUUAUUCGUGGCUUCAGCAUACAGGUCAACUCUCCCAAUGGCCAUUCUGGGCUUGCUUGUCAGCUACUGUUGGUGGUGGUGGUGGUGGUAGUAGUAGUAGUAGGAGGAGGAGGAGGAGGAGGAGGAGGAGGGUUAAUUAUGUCCUGAGAAUAGUUGGUUUUACCAGUUGUGAUGCUAUAAGAGGAGGUGGCUCUGACUCACACACUCCUCUUCAGAUGGGUUUGGAGUUUACUCUGUGACCUGAUCUAAAGGAGAAAGCACAGAGGGUACAGAGACAAGUAGUUAACAUGAAGCAAAUGUUAUCAGUGUAUUUUUUAUUUUUUUUACUCCAAGAAAGCACUCAUUUGUAAGCAAGAAAACCGAGAAAGUCAGUGAGCAGUUGUAGGUUGAGGAGCAGGGAAUGUUCAGUUCAGGGAUGGAAGCAAGCACUUUUACUCCUCAAGUCUGAUCUGGUCAGUGAUGAAUAUUGGCACAUCCUUACUUCUAUCAUGCUUAAGAGAAACUGACUGGUAGUUUGGAAUAGUGAUCAUUGAUUUCUCUCUCCUCUUGUAGGUGAAGUUGCAGCAUUCACCUGUCCAGUACUCUAUGAAAAACACAAGACGCAGAUUGAUCAUUACUAUGGACUGGUGAACAGCCACCUCCAAGACGUAGUGAAAAAGAUUCAGGCAAAGAUUCAUGGAGUGAAGAAUAAAGCUGAAUAAAGAGCAGCAGUGUUUGAAUGCAAGUGAAUAAACAGCAUGGAGUGUGUGUUUACGCAAAGCUGUUGUGUUACUGCAGUGUGUGUUAAAUCAAUUGUGUUAAGGAAAAAAUCCACUUAAAAAUAAAUGGAUUUUGUAUUUUCAUUUUCCCCUGCUUUAUUAGUUCUCGUUGCUGCAGUGUUUAUUUCAUUGAUUUGUGUCUGUGUAAAUGAAAAUGAGAUUAUAAAAGAGUGUAUUUUUCUGCAUCUUUAUCGUUAAUGUGAAUAGCAUUAGUUAUAGUGUAUAUUGAAUCUUAUGACUGUGAAGCUCAAUGUACAUCAUUUUUCAUAUAGCUUUAUUUUUCUUUACACUGCUGCCUGUCUGUGAAAAUAAAAUAAACGUGAAUAAAUCAUAGAUGACUUCAGUGAUGUUCCUAACACAUUGUAGUUUCUCAUCUGUUUUAAAUCUUUCUGUGUGUGUGAGAGAGAGGGAGUGUGAGAGUGAG
ensembl:lncRNA